UCUCUAAUACAAUACUCUUAAUCACAUUGUUUAAGUGAUAGUUUGUUUCAUGUCUACUAUCCAAUGUGAUACUCAUCUAUAUGAUUCCUUUGAAUAUGAAUUGGAACAAACUUCCUAAGUCAUAUUCAUUUGCUUUGGCCAAAGACUUACGAAUCAUAUCUUAGAGUAUUUUCCUUCCACCAUGGAAGGUUAGAGAUCCUUUGUUGUGCAUUCAUAUGCCUACAUGACUAGAUAGCUUGACCCCAACAAUGCCGUGGACAUUCCGAUGGAAUGCCGUUGACAUGAUCAAAGAUCAAGGACCUAACCAUUAAACAUCUAUGAUGCCUCAGGUCAAAGGACUACUUUGCAUAUUGCAACUUUCGAGUUCUUACAUGACAUGUAUGUUCGAACUCUCUUUUGAUCGUUGUUCAGUGUACUCGAUUACUCUUUCGAGCACCUAUGUGUUUGUCUUAGUGUCCAACACCAAAAUGACUUGAGACUAGUCAUACUCACGCUUGAGUUGAACAUAACACAUACUAACCUUAGCGGAUUGUCAAUGCCCAAUUGGCAAUCCUAUGGCUAGGAACGUUUUAGGAAUGAACAUAAGAGAAAGGUCUCGAUAAUCUAACUCACUUAGAUCACUUGUCUCUUAGAUCAAAUACAUUCCUUGGAUUCCCUUAUUGCUUAAACACAUGAUACAAUAAAUAGUGAUUAACAAUAAGCUUUGCCCUUCAUUAAACAUAUAAAAGUUUAAUACAUUAAGUAUUCCAAAAAAGCUAUUACAUCAAAUGAGUGGCUUUGUGGGCAUACUUCCAACAAUCUCCCACUUGCACUCAAAGCCAUC
rnacentral:lncRNA from 1 species